rnacentral:rRNA from 1 species
GACGAACGCUGGCGGCGUGCCUAACACAUGCAAGUCGAGCGAGUGGAGUUCUUCGGAACAAAGCUAGCGGCGGACGGGUGAGUAACACGUGGGCAACCUGCCUCAUAGAGGGGAAUAGCCUCCCGAAAGGGAGAUUAAUACCGCAUAAGAUUGUAGCUUCGCAUGAAGUAGCAAUUAAAGGAGCAAUCCGCUAUGAGAUGGGCCCGCGGCGCAGUAGCUAGUUGGUGAGGUAACGGCUCACCAAGGCGACGAUGCGUAGCCGACCUGAGAGGGUGGUCGGCCACAUUGGGACUGAGACACGGCCCAGACUCCUACGGGAGGCAGCAGUGGGGAAUAUUGCACAAUGGGGGAAACCCUGAUGCAGCAACGCCGCGUGAGUGAUGACGGCCUUCGGGUUGUAAAGCUCUGUCUUCAGGGACGAUAAUGACGGUACCUGAGGAGGAAGCCACGGCUAACUACGUGCCAGCAGCCGCGGUAA